rnacentral:rRNA from 1 species
GACAGAGGGUGCAACCGUUGUUCGGAAUUACUGGGCGUAAAGCGCGUGUAGGCUGCUCAGAAAGUUGGAUGUGAAAGCCCUGGGCUUAACCUAGGAAGUGCAUUCAAAACUACUGAGCUGGAGUCCUGGAGAGGAAGGCGGAAUUCUCGGUGUAGAGGUGAAAUUCGUAGAUAUCGAGAGGAACACCGGUGGCGAAGGCGGCCUUCUGGACAGUGACUGACGCUGAGACGCGAAAGCGUGGGGAGCAAACAGG